rnacentral:tRNA from 1 species
GGAGAGAUCGCCUAGUUGGUCUAUGGCGCCACUCUGGAAAGGUGGUUUACCGCAAGGUAUCGAGGGUUCGAAUCCCUCUCUCUCCGCCA